rfam:Stegodyphus mimosarum contig31684, whole genome shotgun sequence.
GCCUUCGUGGUGUAGUGGUCAGCACGUUGUGCGCGUAUUCCAGAGGUCCGUGGUUCGAGUCCCGACGAAGGCG